UACAGAGGUCUCAAGCGUUGUUCGGAUUCAUUGGGCGUAAAGGGUGCGUAGGCGGCGCGGUAAGUCGGGUGUGAAAUUUCGAGGCUUAACUUCGAAACUGCAUUCGAUACUGCCGUGCUUGAGGACUGGAGAGGAGACUGGAAUUUACGGUGUAGCGGUGAAAUGCGUAGAUAUCGUAAGGAAGACCAGUGGCGAAGGCGGGUCUCUGGACAGUUCCUGACGCUGGAGGCACGAAGGUCAGGGGAGCAAACGGG
rnacentral:rRNA from 1 species